AACGAACGCUGGCGGCAUGCCUAACACAUGCAAGUCGAACGAUGCCUUCGGGCAUAGUGGCGCACGGGUGCGUAACGCGUGGGAAUCUGCCCUUGGCUUCGGAAUAACAGUUAGAAAUGACUGCUAAUACCGGAUGAUGUCCCCCUGAGAGAUCUUGGGGACCAAAGAUUUAUCGGCCAGGGAUGAGCCCGCGUAGGAUUAGGUAGUUGGUGGGGUAAAGGCCUACCAAGCCGACGAUCCUUAGCUGGUCUGAGAGGAUGAUCAGCCACACUGGGACUGAGACACGGCCCAGACUCCUACGGGAGGCAGCAGUGGGGAAUAUUGGACAAUGGGGGGAACCCUGAUCCAGCAAUGCCGCGUGAGUGAUGAAGGCCUUAGGGUUGUAAAGCUCUUUUACCAGGGAUGAUAAUGACAGUACCUGGAGAAUAAGCUCCGGCUAACUCCGUGCCAGCCGCCGCAGUAAGAC
rnacentral:rRNA from 1 species